rnacentral:rRNA from 1 species
ACAGAGAAGUGCUUGCACUUUCAAAGUUAGCGGCGGACGGGUGAGUAACACGUAAGGAACCUACCGAUAAGCGGGGGACAACAUCCGGAAACGGGUGCUAAUACCGCAUAGGAAGUUUGUUCGCGUGAACAAACUUAGAAAGAUGGCUCUGCUAUCACUUAUCGAUGGCCUUGCGGUGCAUUAACUAGUUGGCGAGGUAACGGCUCACCAAGGUGAUGAUGCAUAGCCGACCUGAGAGGGUAAUCGGCCACAUUGGGACUGAGACACGGCCCAAACUCCUACGGGAGGCAGCAGUAGGGAAUCUUCCGCAAUGGACGCAAGUCUGACGGAGCAACGCCGCGUGAGUGAAGAAGGUUUUCGGAUCGUAAAACUCUGUUGUAAGAGAAGAACAAAUUGUAGAGUAACUGCUACAGUCUUGACGGUAUCUUACCAGAAAGCCACGGCUAACUACGUGCCAGCAGCCGCGGUAAUACGUAGGUGGCAAGCGUUGUCCGGAUUUAUUGGGCGUAAAGGGGGCGCAGGCUGCUUCUUAAGUCUGAUGUGAAAGCCCACGGCUUAACCGUGGAAGUGCAUUGGAAACUGGGAAGCUUGAGUACAGAAGAGGAAAGUGGAACUCCAUGUGUAGCGGUGGAAUGCGUAGAUAUAUGGAAGAACACCAGUGGCGAAAGCGACUUUCUGGUCUGUCACUGA